rnacentral:lncRNA from 1 species
UUGUCGGGGUAAGGAAGCUGAGGCUUGAGAAUGCAUUGUUUCAGAGCUAAUGACAGAGCAUCCGACGCUCAGAUUUUCUUUGAAUCUGUAAUACCGAUUUCAGGCUUAAAUGUAAUUGCAAUUUUUUUUUACAAAUGAUCCAACACAGGAGUUAAGUUUUGAUCUCAGUACAGGAGUUAAGGAAAACGGUUUCAACAAACAAUUGUGUUUUUCAGAUUAAUAAUCCUGUUGAAACCGUUUUCCUUGCAAAAGGUAAUACCAAGCAAGGAUUCUUAAAAAGAAAAGAAAAGAGAGUCCAAGUAUGUUUUAACUUGUAAUGUUCAACUGUCCAAUUUAUAGAUGUUCUUUUGCCCCACCAAAGCAUUUUAUUGGCCAAACUCCUCUGAAAUAUCACAUAAACAAACAGAGGGGGUAGAGCAUACUUCGCGAGACUAUGGAACAGCUAUGAAGAUGCCCUUGCAGGCUUGCAGGAAUCAUUGUCUACGGAAAACAAAAUUAUAGAAAAAAAUAUUUAUUUGCUCUCUAAAACUAAGAUGCUUUCUUACUAAUCCUGAAACCAUACCCUGUCUUGGUU